rnacentral:rRNA from 1 species
GAGUUUGAUCCUGGCUCAGAUUGAACGCUGGCGGCAUGCCUUACACAUGCAAGUCGAACGGCAGCAUGAUCUAGCUUGCUAGAUUGAUGGCGAGUGGCGAACGGGUGAGUAAUACAUCGGAACGUGCCCUGUAGUGGGGAUAACUAGUCGAAAGAUUAGCUAAUACCGCAUACGACCUGAGGGUGAAAGUGGGGGACCGCAAGGCCUCAUGCUAUAGGAGCGGCCGAUGUCUGAUUAGCUAGUUGGUGGGUAAAGGCCCGACCAAGGCGACGAUCAGUAGCUGGUCUGAGAGGACGAUCAGCCACACUGGGACUGAGACACGGCCCAGACUCCUACGGGAGGCAGCAGUGGGGAAUUUUGGACAAUGGGCGAAAGCCUGAUCCAGCAAUGCCGCGUGUGUGAAGAAGGCCUCGGUUGGUAAGU